GGAUUAGGCAUGCAAGUCGAGCGAGAAGAGUUUUGAAGCUUGCUUUAGAACUCGGACAGCGGCGAAAGGGAGAGUAACGCGUAGUUAUGUGCCCUAGGGUCCGGAAUAGCCACGGGAAACUGUGGGUAAUGCCGGAUAACAUCCCCGGAUCAAAGGUGUGAUUCCGCCCUAGGAGCAGACUGCGUCCUACUAGCUAGUUGGUGGGGUAAUGGCCCACCAAGGCAAUGAUGGGUAGCGGGUGUGAGAGCAUGACCCGUCUCACUGGGACUGAGACACUGCCCAGACACCUACGGGUGGCUGCAGUCGAGAAUCUUCGGCAAUGGGCGAAAGCCUGACCGAGCGAUGCCGCGUGCGGGAUGAAGGCCCUCGGGUUGUAAACCGCUGUCGUAGGGGAGGAAGGUUCCGUGAAGAGCGGAAUUUGACCUAUCCUAGGAGGAAGUACGGGCUAAGUUCGUGCCAGCAGCCGCGGUAAUA
rnacentral:rRNA from 1 species